rnacentral:tRNA from 1 species
AGAGUGUAGCUCAGUGGUAGAGCAUGUGCUUAGCAUGCACGAGGUCCUGGGUUCAAUCCCCGGUACCUCUG